rnacentral:rRNA from 1 species
UACGAAGGGAUCUAGCGUUGUUCGGAUUUACUGGGCGUAAAGGGCGCGUAGGCGGUUAUGUAAGUAAGAUGUGAAAGCCCUGGGCUUAACCCGGGAACUGCAUUUUAAAACUGCAUAGCUUGAGUGUUGGAGAGGUAAGUAGAAUUCCCAGUGUAGAGGUGAAAUUCGUAGAUAUUGGGAAGAAUACCAGUGGCGAAGGCGACUUACUGGACAACAACUGACGCUGAGGCGCGAAAGCGUGGGGAGCAAACAGGGAUUA